rnacentral:rRNA from 1 species
GGGCGUGCUAAUCUGCGAUAAGCGCCGGUAAGGUGAUAUGAACCGUUAUAACCGGCGAUACCCGAAUGGGGAAACCCAGUGUGACUCGUCACACUAUCAUUAACUGAAUCCAUAGGUUAAUGAGGCGAACCGGGGGAACUGAAACAUCUAAGUACCCCGAGGAAAAGAAAUCAACCGAGAUUCCCCCAGUAGCGGCGAGCGAACGGGGAGGAGCCCAGAGCCUGAAUCAGCAUGUGUGUUAGUGGAAGCGUCUGGAAAGGCGCGCGAUACAGGGUGACAGCCCCGUACACAAAAGCGCAUGUGCUGUGAGCUCGAUGAGUAGGGCGGGACACGUGGUAUCCUGUCUGAAUAUGGGGGGACCAUCCUCCAAGGCUAAAUACUCCUGACUGACCGAUAGUGAACCAGUACCGUGAGGGAAAGGCGAAAAGAACCCCGGCGAGGGGAGUGAAAAAGAACCUGAAACCGUGUACGUACAAGCAGUGGGAGCACAGGUUUACCUG